GGUUAAGCUAAUAAGAGCACACGGAGGAUGCCUAGGCGCCAGGAGCCGACGAAGGACGUGGCGAACAACGAAACUGCCUCGGGGAGCUGUAAGCA
rnacentral:rRNA from 1 species